AUGAAGAGUUUGAUCCUGGCUCAGGAUGAACGCUAGCUACAGGCUUAACACAUGCAAGUCGAGGGGCAUCAGGAAGAAAGCUUGCUUUCUUUGCUGGCGACCGGCGCACGGGUGAGUAACACGUAUCCAACCUGCCCUUUACUCGGGGAUAGCCUUUCGAAAGAAAGAUUAAUACCCGAUAGCAUAAUGAUUCCGCAUGGUUUCAUUAUUAAAGGAUUCCGGUAAAGGAUGGGGAUGCGUUCCAUUAGGUUGUUGGUGAGGUAACGGCUCACCAAGCCUUCGAUGGAUAGGGGUUCUGAGAGGAAGGUCCCCCACAUUGGAACUGAGACACGGUCCAAACUCCUACGGGAGGCAGCAGUGAGGAAUAUUGGUCAAUGGGCGCUAGCCUGAACCAGCCAAGUAGCGUGAAGGAUGAAGGCUCUAUGGGUCGUAAACUUCUUUUAUAUAAGAAUAAAGUGCAGUAUGUAUACUGUUUUGUAUGUAUUAUAUGAAUAAGGAUCGGCUAACUCCGUGCCAGCAGCCGCGGUAAUACGGAGGAUCCGAGCGUUAUCCGGAUUUAUUGGGUUUAAAGGGAGCGUAGGUGGACUGGUAAGUCAGUUGUGAAAGUUUGCGGCUCAACCGUAAAAUUGCAGUUGAUACUGUCAGUCUUGAGUACAGUAGAGGUGGGCGGAAUUCGUGGUGUAGCGGUGAAAUGCUUAGAUAUCACGAAGAACUCCGAUUGCGAAGGCAGCUCACUGGACUGCAACUGACACUGAUGCUCGAAAGUGUGGGUAUCAAACAGGAUUAGAUACCCUGGUAGUCCACACAGUAAACGAUGAAUACUCGCUGUUUGCGAUAUACAGUAAGCGGCCAAGCGAAAGCAUUAAGUAUUCCACCUGGGGAGUACGCCGGCAACGGUGAAACUCAAAGGAAUUGACGGGGGCCCGCACAAGCGGAGGAACAUGUGGUUUAAUUCGAUGAUACGCGAGGAACCUUACCCGGGCUUAAAUUGCAGUGGAAUGAUGUGGAAACAUGUCAGUGAGCAAUCACCGCUGUGAAGGUGCUGCAUGGUUGUCGUCAGCUCGUGCCGUGAGGUGUCGGCUUAAGUGCCAUAACGAGCGCAACCCUUAUCUUUAGUUACUAACAGGUUAUGCUGAGGACUCUAGAGAGACUGCCGUCGUAAGAUGUGAGGAAGGUGGGGAUGACGUCAAAUCAGCACGGCCCUUACGUCCGGGGCUACACACGUGUUACAAUGGGGGGUACAGAAGGCAGCUAGCGGGUGACCGUAUGCUAAUCCCAAAAUCCUCUCUCAGUUCGGAUCGAAGUCUGCAACCCGACUUCGUGAAGCUGGAUUCGCUAGUAAUCGCGCAUCAGCCACGGCGCGGUGAAUACGUUCCCGGGCCUUGUACACACCGCCCGUCAAGCCAUGGGAGCCGGGGGUACCUGAAGUACGUAACCGCAAGGAUCGUCCUAGGGUAAAACUGGUGACUGGGGCUAAGUCGUAACAAGGUAGCCGUACCGGAAGGUGCGGCUGGAACACCUCCUUU
rnacentral:rRNA from 1 species